rnacentral:rRNA from 1 species
AGUGAACGCUGGCGGUAGGCCUAACACAUGCAAGUCGAACGGCAGCACAGGAGAGCUUGCUCUCUGGGUGGCGAGUGGCGGACGGGUGAGGAAUACAUCGGAAUCUACUCUGUCGUGGGGGAUAACGUAGGGAUACUUACGCUAAUACCGCACACGACCUACGGGUGAAAGCAGGGGAUCUUCGGACCUUGCGCGAUUGAAUGAGCCGAUGUCGGAUUAGCUAGUUGGCGGGGUAAAGGCCCACCAAGGCGACGAUGCGUAGCUGGUCUGAGAGGAUGAUCAGCCACACUGGAACUGAGACACGGUCCAGACUCCUACGGGAGGCAGCAGUGGGGAAUAUUGGACAAUGGGCGCAAGCCUGAUCCAGCCAUACCGCGUGGGUGAAGAAGGCCUUCGGGUUGUAAAGCCCUUUUGUUGGGAAAGAAAUCCAGAUGGCUAAUACCCGGUUGGGAUGACGGUACCCAAAGAAUAAGCACCGGCUAACUUCGUGCCAGCAGCCGCCGCCG